rnacentral:rRNA from 1 species
UACGUAGGGUGCAAACGUUGCUCGGAAUCAUUGGGCGUAAAGCGCACGUAGGCGGUCCAGUAAGUCGGGUGUGAAAGCCCUCGGCUCAACCGAGGAAGUGCAUUCGAAACUACUGAACUUGAGUAUGGAAGAGGGUCGCGGAAUUCCCGGUGUAGAGGUGAAAUUCGUAGAUAUCGGGAGGAACACCAGUGGCGAAGGCGGCGACCUGGGCCAAUACUGACGCUGAGGAGCGAAAGCGUGGGGAGCAAACAGG